GGCGAGGGGAGCAAAAUCGGCUUUCUCUGGUUGGUCCUGAGUUGGAAGCAGGGGAAAAAAUUAGGGCAGUCGUCAGUUAUUGAUCAAGUUCCAGCUAUUUGGGGCUGAUUGUUACAAAAGUGACUGUGCAGCCUCCUGGAUUGUGACCGGAGACGGCAGCCUGGCUUCCUGCAAGUCUGACGUAGGCAGCUAACUUCCUGGGAUGUUCACUGUAGACGAGGGGUCGGUUUCCCAGGCGGGUGGCUGCAGGUUGUGGUGACAGCUCCGUCUUUACAGAUGUCUGAUUGUUGUCUGUGUGUGUGCUCAGUCUCUCAGAAGCGGGCGAGGACCUGUACACCUGGGCUUGGAAAGGCCUGCUAUCCAGCUGUGCUGAAGUGGGGCUAAGGAGAGACCAGUGAAGAGGCUGUGCUCCCCUGGCCCAGGGGCAUGGCAGUGGGGCCAGCGCCAAACGGAGAGGACCUAUGAGACUCCUCGCAGCUGCACUGCCCGGAGUUUGCACCCAAGCUGACAAACACAGUCAUCCUGAAGAAGAGAAAGGGCGAGCAGAGCUUGAGGUUUGGACGAGCAGAAGCCUGUAGGAUGGAAUUGAUGUGGAGCCCAGGAAGCAUCUCUAUGCCAGGGCGUGGUGGAAGGAUCUUCUUUCUUCUGAUCCCUCAGUCGAGGAGAAAUCCUAGGCUGCCUGUGAUGAAUGAAGUCAGUUUUAAUCCCUUAGCAAUGCACAGCGCUGAACAGAUAAUCUUGCUCAGUAACGUCCUAGGGACACAGACUGAGCCUCAGCAGCUGCUGUGCAGAGGAUUUCCGCCUCUGCUUGAAUAAUAGGUCUGGAUCUCACUGGUCAUUAAGGAAGAGGAAAGAGCCACUCAACAGUUCCUUGAAACCCCUGGCACUCCCAGUGUGUUAGCUUUGGAAAUCACUCCCAACAGCAGCUGUCUGACCGCCUUCCAGCCUGCCUGGUCCUGCAGCUGGAAACGCAUCGUCCCCAUCAUUUAAUUAGCGUCUGUGUGGUCCUGAUGCUUCUUGGAGAGAGAACUGCAUUGCAUCCCUUCUUCACAACAUCCAACCUUCUGUGUUGCUUUUAGACUGUUUUACUGGGUCUCCG
rnacentral:lncRNA from 1 species